rnacentral:rRNA from 1 species
ACAGUGGACGCGAGCAUCUUUGUUAGUAAGUGUUGAAGAGCGUACGGUGGAUGCCUUGGCACCAGGAGCCGAUGAAGGACGUAGGAGGCUGCGAUAAGCCUCGGGGAGCUGUCAACCGAGCUGAGAUCCGAGGAUGUCCGAAUGGGGAAACCCAGCACGAGUGAUGUCGUGUUACCCGCAUCUGAAUGUAUAGGGUGUGUGGAGGGAACGCGGGGAAGUGAAACAUCUCAGUACCCGCAGGAAGAGAAAACAAUUGUGAUUCCGUGAGUAGUGGCGAGCGAAAACGGAGGAGGCUAAACCGUGUAGAUGUGAGAGCCGGCAGGCGUUGUCUAUGCGGGGUUGUGGGGUUGCUCUUCUCAGUUCUGCCGAGCUGGGCGUGAGUCAGAAACCGUUGUGUUAGCUGAAGUGGUCUGGGACGGCCUACCGUAGAGGGUGAGAGUCCUGUAGGUGAAAACAUGACGGCUCAUGUGAGUGAUACCCGAGUAGCAGCGGGCCCGUGAAAUCUGCUGUGAAUCUGCCGGGACCACCCGGUAAGCCUGAAUACUCCCUGGUGACCGAUAGCGGACUAGUACCGUGAGGGAAAGGUGAAAAGUACCCCGGGAGGGGAGUGAAAUAGUACCUGAAACCGUGCGCUUACAAUCCGUCAGAGCCUGCGCAGUCCUUGUGGCUGGUGGGUGAUGGCGUGCCUUUUGAAGAAUGAGCCUGCGAGUUAGUGGCAUGUGGCGAGGUUAACCCGUGUGGGGUAGCCGUAGCGAAAGCGAGUCCGAAUAGGGCGGUCCAGUCGCAUGUUCUAGACCCGAAGCGGAGUGAUCUACCCAUGGCCAG